rnacentral:lncRNA from 1 species
UUUUCGAUCCGAAAAUAAGGAGGUUUUCAAUCAUCUUGCUAGUAAGUCAUGUGAGUUGUAGUUACUGUCUUAUCUUUCUUUUUAUGGUGUUUGCCAAGUAACGAAUAUUGGCCUGAAUUUGGGAUGUAUUCACUCAUCCACACAGUGAAGCCAUGGUGUCUUGUUCACUGUAUGUCAUUUCAAUUUGUUUCAUGUGUUUUCUCGGCUUGCUUUAGACCAACUUUCCGCUAUUGAUUUUAACAUGAAUUCUUAC